AGUUUAUUAGUUUAGUUGGUUAAAAUAUUAUACUAAUAACUUGAAAGUUAUAGGUUCAAAUCCUGCAUGGACUA
rfam:Glycine soja cultivar W05 scaffold445_29, whole genome shotgun sequence.